UCGGGGAUCGUCUAAUGGUAGGACAGUGGCCUUUGGAGCCAUUAAUCGAGGUUCGAAUCCUUGUCCCCGAG
rnacentral:tRNA from 1 species